rnacentral:rRNA from 1 species
CCCUUAGAUGUUCUGGGCCGCACGCGCGCUACACUGAUGCAUUCAACAAGCCUAGCCUUGACCGAGAGGUCCGGGUAAUCUUUGAAACUGCAUUGUGAUGGGGCUAGAUUAUUGCAAUUAUUAAUCUUCAACGAGGAAUGCCUAGUAAGCGUGAUUCAUCAAAUCGCGUUGAUUACGUCCCUGCCCUUUGUACACACCGCCCGUCGCUCCUACCGAUUGAAUGUGUUGGUGAGGAGCUCGGAUUGGCAGCAGUUGGUGGUUCGCCACCGGCUAUUGCUGAGAAGUCCUCCAAACCGCCCCAUUUAGAGGAAGGAGAAGUCGUAACA